UCUUUCACAGACAUCUUACAGAUUGUGGCUAUUUUGUUUUACCACUGUACAUAUGCCUUCCUGUAUGAUUUCUGUCAUUUCCGUGACAAAAUCUUAAACUGCCAAUCUGUGCAAGAGGGGCUAAUAAAAGCAGGUAUUUAUUUUACUGAGUUAUUAAUGAAGUGGUGUAGGCCUCAAGCGUCUCUCCUGGUUGUCAUGGUAGCUCAGGCUGCGAGCCUCCAGAAAACAUAAAAGAACAGUAAGUGCAAGACCACACAUUCCACCCUGUCUUGUUGAUUAACCAGGCUGUCAAAUGAAAGCAAAGCACCAGUACUGUCGCUGAUAAAAUCUGCAAAGUGAAGAGCAACACUGCCAAACUACUCAACAGACAAGAAGCAAUCUAAACACCUGAAGCAAGAAAUGGAGGUAAAAGAGAUCAAUAUAACUGCAAAUGAAGAUACAGGCCAAUAAAAGCCUCAAUGUAGGACCAGCAUGGAUAGCUGGCUUGGAAAGAGCCAGAAAAGGUGAGAAAACAUUUCCAAAAGUAACUCUUCUUGCAUCUUCAAGAUAUAAGAGUACUGCUUGUAUGGAAGAACUCUGCUCAAGCAUAGCGAGUCAAGUCAAACGUGAAGUGGUGCUGGUUUUGGAGGCAUGAUAUGAACAAAGCAAAGGUAAGGCAACGCAGGAUAAAUGGCUAUGAUGUCUUCUGAAUAUCAUACCCUGAUCAUCAUGAGGAACAGAAUAUUCUGUGCCGCAGAAGAUUUGAAAUGUAUGCUGGGGUACUACCUUGAAACAUAGCUGAUGUUGGCUACUAGUUCCCUAUACACAGAACUGCAUGAAUAGACUGAAUAAGAAAGUAAAAUUCAUAUAUCCCCGCACCCUGAUACAUGUUUUGGGCUACCUUAUUUCAUACAUCCCCAUGUCUGGAAGACUGCCUGCCCUUUGAGAAGUCAUGUGAAUGGAUGCACAGCUUCUCUGAAAGCUGAGCAUGUUCUAGAAGAAGCAAAGCACAACAUAAGAUGCCUGGACCUCAGAAUAUGGAUCAACAACAUUGUAAUUCAACCCUGGAAGUAACUGACUUCUAGCACAAAAGCUCAUGGAAAAUUGAGCAAAGCAGCUACAACUUUCUGCAGCCUAAAGAGGUUUACUUGUUAGAUCUCUUACCUUGCCUUUACCAUGAGGUC